GUUUAGUCUAGAAAAAAGGAGGCUAAAAGGAGACCUCAACCACUCUCAACAACCACCUGAAAGGAGGUCGUUGGGAGGUGGGAGUUGGUCUCUACUCCCAACUUUCAACAAGGCAAGAGGA